UACGUAGGGGGCAAGCGUUGUCCGGAAUCAUUGGGCGUAAAGCGCGUGUAGGCGGCCCGGUAAGUCCGCUGUGAAAGUCGGGGGGCUCAACCCUCGAAUGCCGGUGGAUACUGUCGGGCUAGAGUGCGGGAGAGGCGAGUGGAAUUCCUGGUGUAGCGGUGAAAUGCGCAGAUAUCAGGAGGAACACCAAUUGCGAAGGCAGCUCGCUGGAACGUAACUGACGCUGAGACGCGAAAGCGUGGGGAGCAAACAGG
rnacentral:rRNA from 1 species